rnacentral:lncRNA from 1 species
CAGAGCAGAUUGAAAAAACAAUGUCGGAAAAAGGAUCUGUAUUUAUACUCAUAAUACAGAACACAAGGAUCACUUCAUUCAGCAGCUGGAGACACAGGGAACAUCCAUAUCCUAGAUUUAGAAAGCUGAGAAGGCAUCACAGCCCAUCUCCUCCUGCUAGCACAGGAUGAUGAGGAGCUCCAGAUGCUCCUGGGGAUCACAUGCACCCUAGGAGGGCUCCUUUGAAGAGGGAGCAAUGGGGACCCUGCACAGUGGCUGGGCAAGCUGCCUUUCCUAGUCCAGCUGCCAGCAGAUCAGAGGAUCCCAUGAGCAGUGAUACCGACACCGGCAUGGCACAUCCCGGGGUGGCAGAGACACCACCACUCUGCAUUGGAAAUGCAUGAAGCAAAGGUGAGCAGCUACUUACAUCUGAUACAGCCUGAUGCAGGGGUGAGCUUGGCUGUGGCAAACAGCCUUUCCUCUGUUACUCUCAAUGCUCUAGUAUUUGUGCAUUGUAUGGGGCACAGAUCCAUGGAAAGCUUGAAGGUUACUGGCAAUCUGCUGGUCCAAACCUUUGGAAGCCACUCCUCGAGGAGUCCUCUCUAGGUGACCAUUGAAGAAAUUAUCAUUUUGCAAGAGAAAAAGCAAGACUAUCACCACCCAAGUGGCCUGAAAUGAGGUGAACUCAACUAAGUCACAGCAGAGCUCUGUCUGUAAUCCAUGCCUAGUCAUGUAAGUUAUUCUUAACUUCCAUUACAUAUGUACAAACAAGGAGGUGGCACUAUCACCUGUGGUACUCUUCUGGGUGCCUUCUCUUACCCAUAACUGCAUACAAGACUGUCUCAGACCAAGAAAUUGCUGAUUGUGCCUUGGAGUAACUGAGGCACACCCUGACACAAGGCAGUAAAUACUGGGCAGCUCAUACACAAUAACAUGUUGUUUAGAAAAAACUUGUCAGCCUACAUCACUACCUAGUAGCAAAGUUUUGGUUUCUACAUGCUAGGUAGACAAGAAGAGAUGGAGAAUUUGGGCUGGUUCUGUAGUAAAGAUCUGUCCUACUCAUGCAGAAACACUAUCCAAAUCACAGAGGAUCAGGAAAAUCAACUACAGGCUCCCUGAAUUUCUAUAUGAAGCAAUCACAGUUACACAACUCAUAAUUGAGUUUACUGCACUUCACUCUGUGUUCUUUAUUACAGUGUUGACUAAUGAAGUCUUACUUUAGAAUAAAACUCUGCUUCUGGUAACA